rnacentral:rRNA from 1 species
AGUUUUAAAGAGCCGCGGUAUUUUGACCGUGCAAAGGUAGCAUAAUCAUUAGUCUCUUAAUUAGGGGCUGGUAUGAAUGGUUUGACGAGAAAUCAUCUGUCUCUUAUUAAAUUAUGGAAUUUAACUUUUAAGUUAAAAGGCUUAAAUUUUUCUUAAAGACGAGAAGACCCUAUAGAGCUUAACAUUUUAUUUUAAUAUAAUUUUUGGUUGAUUUUUUUAUAUUUAAAGAUAAUGUUUUGUUGGGGUGACAUGAAGAAUAAAUAAACUCUUCAUAAUAAAAUCAUUAAUUUAUGUUUAUAUGAUCCAUAAUUUAUGAUCAUAAGAUUUAGUUACCUUAGGGAUAACAGCGUAAUUAUUUUUAAGAGCUCAUAUCGACAAAAUAGAUUGCGACCUCGAUGUUGGAUUAAGAAUAGUUUUGGGUGCAGGAGCCCAAUAAUUAGGUCUGUUCGACCUUUAAAUUC